CGAAAUUAUUGAGAGAUUAACUUCAGAAAAGCAAUGCAUGGGGCUUUACAGCAUCGAGGUUGCUUUACAGAAAUUUCAAGAUUUAUGAAGUAGCAUUGGGCAUGAGUCACGGUGCAGAUGUUAGAUUAAAAACUUGAAUACAAUUUUUGUUGUUCAUAUAUCGAUUCUGCAGUAUGUUUUUAUUUCUUCGAUGUACAUCAUGCCCAUAGCUAAUGUUGUUUGUUCUCGAUCUCCUGAUUGCACUCAAGGGAACUAUUUUGGGAAGUCAGAGUGUACAUAGUGUGAAUAAUGAGCAACCUAAAAGGUGAGUGUUUCAUUAAACAUUCAGCCCUCGUGGUAAUAAAUUUGAUUUUUUUUGUUAUGUAACAUUCAGUAUAUGCUACUUGGUGAGGCCAUUAGCAUUCCAGGCACACAAUCUGGUCUAGCCAACAGAUUCUGUGAAUCCGGAUCCUGACUCAGAGAACCAGUCCAGACCCUACAAUUUGGAUCCCUUCGCAGCAUGAGUUGGAUGCACAAAGUUGCACAUUCUGGUGGCCAAUAGUCGCAGCACAUUUGUCCUGUACUCAUAGUUGAUCAUCCUUAUUUCUGUGAGCUGAUCAUCCCGUGUUUGUAUAGACCGUUUAGAUAGCCACUAAAGAGAUAUGCCAUGUAAUUUGAGAUGCUUUGUACACAUUUUGGAUUCUGUUAGCUUGUUGUGUUAAAUGUUAACGUUAUUGUUGUA